rnacentral:rRNA from 1 species
CAGCCGCCGCGGUAAUACGAAGGGGGCUAGCGUUGCUCGGAAUCACUGGGCGUAAAGGGUGCGUAGGCGGGUCUUUAAGUCAGGGGUGAAAUCCUGGAGCUCAACUCCAGAACUGCCUUUGAUACUGAAGAUUUUGAGUUCGGGAGAGGUGAGUGGAACUGCGAGUGUAGAGGUGAAAUUCGUAGAUAUUCGCAAGAACACCAGUGGCGAAGGCGGCUCACUGGCCCGAUACUGACGCUGAGGCACGAAAGCGUGGGGAGCAAACAGGAUUAGAUACCCGGGUAGUCCCUGUCUCUUAUAC